UUCAGCGACUUGAGGAACAAUGCUUCUUUUAUGGUGGACACAGUCGAGCUGUACUGAAGCCUGGUGCAUGCCCUAGCAUUCCGGCUCCAGGUCAACAAAGUAUACAUGUUCAGGUCAUGCAAGAGUAUACCAACAGCAAAGCGUGUCUCAGAUGCAAACCUCUUCAAGCAUUUGCCAUGAAGCCAUGACACAGGAACGGCUCCACUUGGGUCAUUCAGUUGAAAGUCUGCUUGCAGCGUACUUUUUGCUUGAGCAAGGGUUUUCAAAUCCUUUAAAAAGUAAAGUACUAAUUAAAAGUACACGAUUGCUGCAUAAAUGCAAUUUUAAAAGCCAGA